rnacentral:rRNA from 1 species
UACGUAGGGGGCAAGCGUUGUCCGGAUUUAUUGGGCGUAAAGAGCGCGUAGGCGGCCCGUUAAGUCGGAUGUGAAAACCCGUGGCUCAACCACGGGCCUGCAUCCGAUACUGGCGGGCUCGAGGCAGGCAGGGGAGAUCGGAAUUCCUGGUGUAGCGGUGAAAUGCGCAGAUAUCAGGAGGAACACCGGUGGCGAAGGCGGAUCUCUGGGCCUGUCCUGACGCUCAGGCGCGAAAGCGUGGGGAGCGAACAGG